CCUACGGGAGGCAGCAGUGAGGAAUAUUGGUCAAUGGACGCAACUCUGAACCAGCCAUGCCGCGUGCAGGAAGACGGCUCUAUGAGUUGUAAACUGCUUUUGUACGAGGGUAAAUCCCGAUACGUGUAUCGGGUUGAAAGUAUCGUACGAAUAAGGAUCGGCUAACUCCGUGCCAGCAGCCGCGGUAAUACGGAGGAUUCAAGCGUUAUCCGGAUUUAUUGGGUUUAAAGGGUGCGUAGGCGGUUCGAUAAGUUAGAUGUGAAAUCCCGAGGCUCAACUUCGGAAUUGCCUUUGAUACUGUUCGGCUAGAGAGUAGUUGCGGUAGGCGGAAUGCAUGGUGUAGCGGUGAAAUGCUUAGAGAUCACACAGAACACCGAUGGCGAAGGCAGCUUACCAAGCUGCUACUGACGUUGAGGCACGAAAGCGUGGGGAGCAAACAGGAUUAGAUACCCGUGUAGUC
rnacentral:rRNA from 1 species